rnacentral:tRNA from 1 species
AGGAUGGAAAGUGCUUUCUUUGCAGGUGAGCCAAGAUGUGCCAACCUU